UGCCCGACAGUAGAAUUAGGGGUGCAAGAUACCCACCUGAGAGAAAAGAAAAAGAAGAGCAUCUCAUUCUCCUCAUAAAGUUUCAAAAGCAAGGAAGGUAUGUAUCCCCUCAAAAGAGCAAAGUAGAAUUAGACUUCCACCACCAUUACUUCCACCAUUGUUAUCACCAUCAUCACCAUGCACCAUUCAUUCGCCACACAUGCACAUGUUGAUUAAACUUAUUGGCUUGUUUCUUUGGAUCCAUGGUUUGACUAUACAAUAAAUGUCUUGUAAGUAUGUAUACUUUAUCUCCCACCUAUGAACUCCAGAUAUUAAAGCCUUAUUAGAGUAGGGUGAGAGAGAAGGCAAUGUCACUACGCUUUGUACCACAAAUACCAC
rnacentral:lncRNA from 1 species